GGGACAGUCCGUCGCCGUGGCCUCCGGGCCGCGGAGGAAAGUCCGGGCAGCGCAGAGCACCUCCCUGCGGAAAGCGCAGACAGGCGUAAGUUUGUGAGGGGCGUAACAGAAAACAACCGCCGUCGGGUUCGCCCGCCGGUAAGGGUGAAAACGGGAGGCAAGAGCUCCCGACGGGCCGGCGGCGACGCCGCCCGGGUACGCUUCGGAGGGCUGCAAGGCCAAAUAUACCGGCAGAUGAGGGCUGCUCGCCCGAUGCCGGGGGGUAGGCUGCGUCAGAUAAAUGACGGGCGCCGCGCGCACCUUGCGGUGCGGUCCGCGGAGACAGAACCCGGCUUAUCGUCCCACCUU
rnacentral:RNase_P_RNA from 1 species